rnacentral:rRNA from 1 species
CAGCCGCCGCGGUAAUACGUAGGUGGCAGGCGUUGUCCGGAAUUAUUGGGCGUAAAGCGAGCGCAGGCGGUUAGAUAAGUCUGAAGUUAAAGGCUGUGGCAUAACCAUAGUACGCUUUGGAAACUGUUUAACUUGAGUGCAAGAGGGGAGAGUGGAAUUCCAUGUGUAGCGGUGAAAUGCGUAGAUAUAUGGAGGAACACCGGUGGCGAAAGCGGCUCUCUGGCUUGUAACUGACGCUGAGGCUCGAAAGCGUGGGGAGCAAACAGGAUUAGAUACCCCCGUAGUCCCUGUCUCUUAUACA